rnacentral:rRNA from 1 species
UGCGUAGGCGGCGCGGAAAGUCAGGGGUGAAAUCCCGGAGCUCAACUCCGGAACUGCCUUUGAUACUCCCGCGCUUGAGAACUGGAGGGGAGACCGGAAUUCACGGUGGAGCAGUGAAAUGCGUGGAUAUCGUGAGGAACACUAGUGGCGAAGGCGGGUCUCUGGACAGUAUCUGACGCUGAGGCACGAAGGCCAGGGGAGCAACG